rnacentral:lncRNA from 1 species
AGAUCUCUGGAAAGGUACUAAGAUGGAGAAGUUGGCAACAUUAUUUCAUUUCAUACAUGAUAAGAUAAUUAGUGCUUGCUCGCAGUAAACAUCGCACUGCAAGCAUGGCCUCGCCUGAUCGCCCCAAUUUCAGCAGACAAGUUCGGGGAGGCGUAUAGAACUUGCUGCGCAUUAUUUGAUCUACAGCCUAAUUAGUGGAAGGAGGUGUUCUUGAGGUGUGGCGGGGCGUUGUCAAAGGAGUGCUUCCUGGCCAUGGAGACGAUUGUCUUGUCGGCGACGAUGAAAUAGGCCAUCCCGGCGACGGUGGAGAUGAUGAGCGCCUGCCCGGCCGGGUUCAGGUGCGCCUUUGCCCACGGCAGCAUCCUCACGCUCGCCAGCUGAAAUUACAGGUAAGAGGUAACACAUUCGUGCUCCGCAGGGAUAUCUCGAAGAAGGCAAGAACUAAAUGGCUAGCUACUAACCGUGGGGACUGCGGCUGCGACGGUGGCGACGGCCGCGGCCUUGGCUCCCGCCAUGGCAGCCUCUGCAACACCGACAGGUUAAUGACAAUCAAGUUUCAGUGGACAGAUACAUUACAGAAGCUGCAAUUAAUGCACGACGGAAUGGUAUCUAUACGAGCAUUGCUGGUUACCUCUGGAGCAACGCUUGGCUGCAGCGAGCCUCUGGUCCAGGUAGGCGCGGGUCACCGUAGACAUUUUCGUGGGAGUGGCAGCUUGGUGGCACGAGACCGGAAGGAAGUGAACUAGAAGUAGAGCAGCAGCAGUGUGCUUUUUAUGUGACCGUCUGAGAGUGAGAUGAGAUGGAUAGGAGGUGUGCUCCGAUUCGGCCGAGUUUAUGUAGGCUGCAGGAAACCGGCAACCAGCGUGCGCACAAGAAGACGAUAGAUACAGUGGGAAGCGAGACCGUGGUUUUGGCACUUUGGCAGGCGAGCUAGCAAUACCGGCGGCGUGCUGGGUGGUCGGCGCUGCGGCAGAACACAGGUGGCGCUGCCUCGUUGGUCAUUUAAAAACCAUCUCACGUGCGCCGCACUCUUCUGCAACUGGAUAACAGCAGGCAAUGCAUCAAUCCAUCGGGGUUGGCAGGGAAUCAUAGGAUAACAAAUAUAGGAGCAUGUGCAUGAGUGGGGUGUCAAUUAAAGCAUCACUUGUAGUGUUCUUAAAUCUUCAAAUCCUUAAAAUAAAUCAUUUUUUACGGAUUGAAACGAAAAAAAGCAAAGAAUAGAACCCCUAAACCCUUAAAAAAAAAUAAGGAUUGAACCCGGGUUGCCCUCUCAAUCUCUAAAAGUGAGGAUUGAAGAGGGGAACCCAUCCCUAGCCCGCACUCCUACCGGUCGACGCGCGGGAGGGAAAUUUCCCCGCCUCCCGCCUCCCGCCACCCGCCUCCUCGCUGCCGUCGGCCGCNNNNNNNNNNNNNNNNNNNNNNNNNNNNNNNNNNNNNNNNNNNNNNNNNNNNNNNNNNNNNNNNNNNNNNNNNNNNNNNNNNNNNNNNNNNNNNNNNNNNCCCCAGCCCGCCCCAGCCGCCGCCUCCGUCGUCCCGCCCGCCACGUCCCUCACCCCGCCCGCCUCCUCCCUCGCCCCGCCGAAGCCGCCCGCCACCAAGGGUCGGAAGAAGAAGCCCUCCCUUGGGCCGAAGGGGGCGGCGGGGCCGAAGGUGAAGAAGACCAUCUCCCGGAAGAAGCCGGCUCCUGUGCCCGCCCCGGCCGUCGCCCCUCCGCCCGUCGUGCACGAGGUGAAUGCCCGCCCCGCUGACAUCAUUCAUGGGGCUUCUCGAAGACGCGGAGGUGGACAUCGGGGCUCCUCCUCUCGAACCCUUUGGGUUUAGUGAUGACUUGGAGGAAGAGGGUGAUGAGGAGGAGGAAGGGGAAGAUGAGGAGGAGGUGACCGAGAUAGAGGAGGAGGCGUUCUCCACCGUUGGAAAACACACCGUGCGCUCGACAAACUAUAGCGAGGACGAAGAUAUUCUCUUGGUUCGUGCUUGGGCACAUGUGGGAAUGGAUGCAAGCACCGGUGCCGAUCAAACCGAUAAACUCUAUUGGCAAUGCAUAGAGGACCUCUAUUGCAAGAUUAAGCCGAAGACCGGUGGGUACGACGCUCGUAGUUACCUGUCGCUACAAGGCCGGUGGGAGUUGAUGAAGCCCCAUUGUGCUCGUUGGAGUGCGGCAAUGGACCAAGUGAAGGAUGCACCGCCUAGUGGGACCGUGGAGAGUGACUAUGUAAGUACAUAUGUGUUUUUCACAUUUAUUUUGAUUUUCUAUGCUAUUGUUAUGUAUGUUUACUAUGCUAUUGGUGGGUUUGUAGGAGGCAAUUGCCGACUUGAGGUACAAGGAGAUGGCCGCUUCCAAGGGCAAAGCAUUUCCAUUUAAGCAUGUUUGGAAAAUUCUUUAAACUUAUGACAAGUGGAAGUUGAGGGAUCAAGAGACCGCACCCAAGAAGUCGACAAUGCUUAGGAUGGAUGAUAGUGAUGAGGAGGAAAGGAACGAGUGCAAGCCCGAGGGAACCAAGAAGGAUAAGCUAAGCAAGAAGAUGGAAGGAGAGGCGUCAAGCAUAAGGGAGAAGAUGGAACAUAUGAUGAAGUCAAGGAAGGCAUUGAUAAUGAAGACAUUGGAGACAAAGCUCCUUAUCAACGAGAAUAAGAAAGAGGUGAAGCUUGCACAAGUUGAAGCAAGGCGUGAAGAAGCCAAGCGCAAGGCCGACCUGGAGGAGAGGAUGAUCAAGGUCAAAGAAGCAAAGGCAUGGAAAGAACUCAUGGUGGAAGAGAAGGAGCACAUAAUGAUGUCCAAUAAGGACAUUGAUGAAGACCAAUUGAUGUGGUGGAAGGAGUACAAGGAGGACAUCGCGGAGAGGAAGAGGAUAUUCUGUGGUGCGUCCUCUACUCUUCGAGGUGAUACUCCGAUGAGUGGUGGUGGCGAUGGCAGUGUGGAGGACUCCACCACCGGCGAAAAUGGAGGUGCUUGAUGGACGUGGAAGUGGUCUAGGAGAUGGCGCUGAGGUGCAACUUUUUGGUGAUGGUGCCGAUGAGAGGGGGAAGAUGAUGAUUUUAUGAUGUAAACUAUUAAACCAUGCAUCAAUGAUUUUCAUUUCCUAGUUUGUUUCAAGGUUGAUUGUGUUUUUCUAGUGAUAAUUGUGAUAUGUCAAAUGACAGAUUUAAGGGUUGGGGUUGCGGCAAAGACUAAACCCUCAAAUUCAACCCUUAUAACGGAGUAUUCUGUUAUAAGGGUUGGGUUUGAGGGUUCUAGUCUUUGCCCCUGUUUUUCAAUCCUUAAAAGUGCCAAAAAAUGCCAAUUCUCAACCCUUCAACUGGUAUGAGGGUUUGAGGGUACUACUAGAGAUGCUCUUAGCGUGCACACCAUCUCACUUCAGAUUUGUCUGUGUGUGUGGGAGUUUUCGUCCUACCCAACCCGGUUAGACGCGUCGGAAAUCAGCCCAAUUUGACUAGUGGUUGAGUGCUAAAUUUUUGUUUGUUGAGAGAGAGAAUAUCACAUGAAACCUAAGUUUUGAUAAAAAUCACCCAGAAUAGAUAUUAUUUUGAUGUUCCGAAAUCUCCAUUAGAUGUUGAUUUUGUUUCUUCAGCUCGUCCUUAGGGCGUCUCCAAAGCUGACCCGCCAAUAGUUUCGAUAUAUAUCCGUUUUUAUGUCCGGACGUAGUCCGUGGACGGUUGUCGAGGACAGGUAGACUUCGUUGACUAUAGCAUUUACUGUAGCUACAAUUGUACAGUAUACGAAGGAGAUGUGCCUAAGCCCUAGGCCGUCGCUCCUUCUAUCUGGGGCGUGAAUCCGUCCAUGUCGGUGGAUAUAAUCAGGAGUCGGCCAUUCAAUUGUAGGUGCAAACAUCCGCCUCUAUUAAUGAUUUUCAAGAAAUCAACUCAGCCAAAUUAACCUUCCACAAAUAGAAAAUCUACCUUCCGUUGAAUAGAAAUCAACCUUCACUUAUUUGAAUCAAUCUUCCACCAUUUGACGUAUACUUAUAAAGAAAUAUUUACUCUCGUAAUUUUAGGUGCGACAAUGAGAAUUGUCUAAAAAAAUAGAUGGAAUUGGACCUAGAAAAACCAUUCAGCUUCAUUAUGGAUUAGGUAUGACUGGGUGAAAAUCCUUUUGAAGGAAGCUAUUCAAGAACGGAUGGAACGGCUUUCCCUUCAAUAACAAAUAAAUUUUACAUAUGGGAAUUGGUUGAAGUCGAGGGAUUAGCUUAUAUAGAUAGACGCGGCGGGGGCACGGUGUUUAUCCGGUCUCGUGUUAGAUCCUAUGAUUUGGUUAGUUAGCCUAUGAGAACAAGUCACAAGUUAUUUCCUCUUUCAAUCAAAUGAGGUACUUCCUCGGUUUAGAAGGCACGUUUGGAAAAUCUCUCGGAUCAAGGUAGUCAACGAUUGGUUGUGAGAUGUAGUAGGUGUAUAUGCUAAUGCGCCUAAUCAACUGGAAAAAAUAAGAGUACUAAUGCUUGAGCAGCAAAUUAGGAGGGCGCAUGCAUGAGUAGUGCUAGUACUAAUUAAUAAGAGUAAUUGCUUUCCCGCCUUAAACCUUGUCUAUUUUGAAAACGCACGCAAGUUUAACCGUGCCUUCUAAACCGUGACGGAGAGAGUAAUUAACGUGAAGUAACAGGGUAAUAAAUCUACAUUUUUAAUACAAACUAUUAAUAAACUAGUAGGAAGAAAUAUGUGUUUUUAAUGUGGAGUAAUCAAUAGACGGUCCUAAGCUGCUCUCGCCCCAACCCGGACAUGGGUACACGGCGGCUUUUGAUUGGCCAAGCGCCGGACUCCUGUAAGGCCUCACCUUAUCGACGAUUGGUCUAUCUCUGUCUACCUCAAGUGUUGCUUUGUUGCUUAUCCUUUGUGUGCUUGCUACUUAUCUUCAGCAUUUGUGUAUCUAGCCUUAGGUUGUCUGAGGUGGUGUUUGUAAUCGUAUGAUUGUAUGUGAUCGUUGUUUUAUAUAUAAAACGGAACGCGAGCCUAUUUCGUCGUAAGCUGCAAUGCACAACAGAAUGGUAUAUACGAGCACUGUUGGGCUGAGGCAGGGACCGGCUCCCUCGUUGGUUACCUAUGCGGCACCGCUUGGCGGCGGCAAGGUAGGCACGGGUCAUCGUAGACAUGUCGAGAGCAGAGUUUGGUAAAGGAUCAGUAGGUUUACUAGCGUGAGUGAGACCAAGAUGAGAUGGGCAGAGCAAGAGGUGAUUCUUUUCAGCGAGAGGAGGCAUCGAUCCAUUUUGUAGGAGCAUGUGCGUGAGUGCAGUGUCAGUCAGUGUGCACUCCGUUUUGUUGGCCAUGUGAUGUGCCUGUCCUGGCGCUCCCAGUUUUCGCCCUAGCUAGCUCGGCAAUCCCGUCAGCGGUUCGGUGCAAAACCUUUGCUUGUUUAGCUGGCGUUAUUCCCGGGAGUGCAUGAUAGUUACCGGAGUAGUUGAUUUCCAUUUUCUUAUGAUGACGCUAAAAACACUUGCCAUCUUUGUUAAUUUAGAAGAAAAAAAUUAUCCUGUUAAUUUAGAAAAACCAGAUGAAAACUGUAGCAACACGCCCAACCAGACUAUCAUAGUCAAACAUAUGACAAUAGAUAUGUCAGAGGCCGAUCUUGCUACCAACGUAGACUCCAUACUUAACGGAGAAGACAACUUCCGCAAUGGCUGCAUAGAAACGUCACUCAUCGCCCUCAAUCUAUUUUUUAUUUUUUUGGAAAAGGAGGUUUAACCCCGGUCUCUGUAUCAAUCGAUGCAUACGACCAUCUUUAUUAAUUAUUUAAUAUAGGUCUAAUAAAAACAUACGUCAAACCAUCCGAAAUCAUCACUCACACCUACAAAACUCGAUAAUGUGUAGUGCUCUCACUCCCCAUAUCUAAAACCGGUGCCCUCAUCGAUCCAUCCACAUAACGUAUCGGAACUCACAGCCGGUGCAACACACCUAAAGCGUACACCACAUGUACACGUUUUAGACGCCGUCAUCAUCAUCAGGCGCUGACCCAUCUUUUGUAAAAAGAUGUGUAUCAUCCUUGCCAGUCCGUCCAUCCGUAGACGCCACCACGGCUCGUCAGUCCAGACGCGAAGAUUCUGGAAGAUCUGUCGUGCGUAGCACCUGCCGACCAGGCAUGACACAACGUAGCACGUGUCGGCCAGGCAUGACUUGACAUCUCCACCGAAAGCUUUGUGCAAGAUGAUCGGCGCCACCAUGGCGCCAAACAGCGCCACCGCCCUGCGCUCAUUCGUCGAAACACAAAGAUUCUGGAAGAACUGUCGUUCGUAGCACCUACCAACCAGUCAUGACUCAGCGUAGCACCUGUCGGCCAGGCAUGACAUGACAGUUCCACCAAAUCUUCGGGCCACACAAAGCUGCUCCAUCUCCUGCCUCUGUCAUCCAGCGCUGCUCCACAAACAAUGCUCCCAAGAGAGAAACGGCACCGCAGUACCGCCAUCGUACGAUCUGAAAAGUCAGAUCUUAGGGUUUCCUCCGAAGCAGUGCCCACCACCAGCAACCGCCCAGGACCCACAUAGUGCCCGCCACAACUCAGCCCUCAAGGCGACGCCUUCAGGAAGGUCACGACGUCAAGGACGCCGCCGCCUUCCACCGGAGUUAGGGUUUUCACCCGAGAGGCAGUGAGGUAGGAAGUGGAGGAGCAGACCUAGACCGACGUCUCCAGGAAGAACAACGGCGCUCUUGAGCGUCGUCGGCGGCGCGGCCGGCCAGGGCCGACCAAUGGGUUCCCCCGUACCUGAAUCUUCUCCACCAGCUUCAUCCGCGGCCACGCCGGCAACGCCAGAAAACCGCAGGAGAGAAGCACACCGCGGGUAUUUGGAUCAAUGAAGAUUCAAUCUAAACAGUGACGAGUACCACCACCCUGCGCUGGCCGACGGCGUCCGGGCGCCGGAUCCAGAAGGAUCUGACCCCUCGCCCUCGAUCUAAUGACUCCGACUCCAACAAAAAUGGCCAUAAACAAACUAACCGGUACAAGUUGAUGCAUGGAACCAAAAUUCACUAUGCUUAGAAGACAUCAUCAGCCAUGGAUGCACACAGGCGUCAUCAGAGGCGACUAAAUAAAAUGAUGCUGCUUGUAGUACCCACACCAGACCGAAUAAAAAUGAAACCGUUUGUAGAGAGACAUUUUACUAGCAUCCACACACUCUGCGAAGAUAGCUGCCUCCGAAUCCCACCAUGUGAUAGUCUAGUUCCGCUUUGAGGCGAUUGACACCAAGAGAAUUAGCGAUAACUGGCGACCGGUGGUUUCUCCAGGCGGCUCAACUCUAAUCUUGUUCAGUAGUAGUGGGUGUUUUGUGUUAGGGCUGGUGUCUCCUGGUUUCAUGCUCAAUGUUGACUUAGAGACAAUUUUUUUGGCCUUUUUAGACUUCUAAAAUAAGCUGCCUUCUAUCCAUUUUAUUCUAAAAGCCUAAUUCAAUUUCUUUUUAAAAACAUAUUAGACAAUUUAAUUAUUAGCUUUCUAAGAAAAUUAAUUUGGUUGGACUUCUGAAAUAAGCAAGAAUAGGAGGCAACCUAUUCCAUCUUAUUCUAGAAGCCGGCAAAAAAUAAACUGGCCUUCAGUUAUUCUUGUGCCAACAAACCAGUACCGUUUUAUUUUACUUUUAGUUUGUUUGCAUGAGGGUUGUCUCAUCAUAUUAUAUCGGUUCGACCGAUUGUGGCUUUAUUCGAAAAGGGGGCGAAAGACUCUUUUGAAAAAGGUUUAAUCGUGUGAGGUGAGGUGUCAUGAUCCUCACGUGCAUUUCGGAACAGAACAGGGGAGGAGCAGGGGAUCAAAAGAUUUAACUAGUACCACGGUGUUAUCUCGGCAUUUUGCAAUGCUCUGACGCAUGUCAACUGGUAAUCAUCAUAAGGAAAACACGAGCCAUGGCACAUGAACCAGGGUCGUACAAAAUUAAAACUAGUUGUUAUUAACUCAAGAUAUAUGGAAUGAUACUAAGAUGGAGAAGGUGGCAACAUUAUUUCAUUUCAUCCAUAAUCACACAAGUGCUUGCUUGAUGGCCCCUCUACUACUACUAGCUCAAGGUCUGAAGAAUGAUCGCGGACGGGGACGAGCCGGAGCCGCGGCGGCGCCACCGAAGGAGGUGUCUUUGAGGUGGUCAGGGGCGCUCUCGUAGGAGUGCCUCCUCGCCAGCGAGAGGAUGGUCUUGUCGGCGGCGACGAAGUAUGCCAUCCCGGCGACGGUGCAGACGAUGAGCGCCUGGCCGGUGGGGUUGAGGUUCGCCUUGGCCCACGGCAGCAUCCUCACGCUCGCCAGCUGCGUGAUUAAUAGUAGUUCAGUUAUGGAAACCACAGUCCAACGUGCAUGGAAAUCAACAACAAUUCCUGGACGGAGGAGCUCACCGUGGGGACUGCCGACGCGACCGUGGCGACGGCCGCAGCCUUUGCUCCGGCGAACGUUGCCUCUAGGAAAGAUUAAAAGAAAAAAAAGAAUGAACCGCUAGUAUCAGACUAUCAGCACACAACUGAGCUCUGAAGAAGUGCAUCCUGGUCAGUGGUUACUACCUCUGGAGCAGCGUUUGGCGAGGGCGAGCUUGUGGUCGAGGGACGCGCGGGUGACGGUGGCCGCCGACGACGACAUCUUCACCGUGAUAUUGUACAGAAACGGCUGAGUGCGAUCGAGUGAGAUGGUGUGGGCUGGCUGGUUCGUUGUUGCUCGAUGCAUCCAGACGAGGAGCUAGCCGUGUAUUUAUAGCGAGCAAAAAGGUUGCCGCCAUGCACGGUUUUGGGUGCAAACCGUGGGUACUCUGCUAUGAUCCGCUCAUUUGGACUUUAGAGUACACAACUGAGUUGGUGGGCGGAGCACCGCACGCUAUCUAAAAACUAUGGCAGCAAUCCACAGGAUUUGAUGAUGCUUGUUUGUUAGAGGUAUAUAUCCUCCAUGGCUCAAUCGCCUUUCUUUCUUUACCCACCAAAGCUGGUGAAAAAAGAGAGAUCUAAAGUUAGGCACAACAGUGCUGAUCUGAGCACAAUACUACGUAGAUAAUUGCUACCGGACGCAUUUGUUCUUUGUAAGAUAAGAUAACAAAUAUGAAACGGAGCAGGUGCCUCCGGGUCCACUCGUCAUCGUCGGUCCGUCGGUCGGCGAGCGGCGCUCCCAGUUUUCCGGCGAAACCGGCGGCAUGUGCUCCCCGGCCGGACUAGCUCUUCAUGCGUGAGCUGCUUUGGCAUUUCUCCACAUUUUUCUCCAGUCUGCGGCCCACCCAUAUUGCAUACAACAUUUAUUCUUCAGGUUCGUUGCACAAGAUACAGUCUGUUGGUGUAACCUGUUGUUGCUGCAAUCUCCAAUUCAUUGUUUUUUUUAAUAAUCUAAUUCAUUGUUUCAUUGUACGUUGACAUGAUUCCCAAUGAUUUGAUCCCGCUUGUAAGUGCAUACAAUGACAUCAACCAGCCAAUAAGAACUACCUCGUAGGUUUAGUUGCUCAUUAUUAUACAAUUACGACAUGGCAGUUUUAGUCAUUCAUUACCAUUUUUUGUUUAAAACUUGACAUUUAAAAAUGGCCUUUUAAAUUUGUGUCCCUAACUUGAAUCCAUAAUUCAGAUUUGCCCUAAUUUCAAAGCAUAUGCUCAAAUUUACACCUCUGCCGUUAUGUGUCCUUACAAAAAUAUCCUUCUGUACCAUAUUUUUAAUUGACAAAUUAUAGAGACUAUUUUGUCAUAUGGUAUUAUUAAAGAAGUUUUUUUUCUGUGGGUCAACGCACCAUAGUUUUGAACCUUACGUAGUGACGGAGCCAGUAUUUGGAUGUGGCCGUGGAUAGGGGGGCCAAAUACUUACAUACUAUGACAUAUCAAUCAAAUAUACACUAGGUACUUCAGAUUUUAUCGACCGUUAGGGGGAGCCAGGCCCCUGCUCGCCCCCUUGUCUCCGCCCCUGACCUUACGCGUAGAUAUGGAUAUACUUUUAUCUAACGAACGAUUAAGAAAGUGUUAAAGUAUUCCGGCCUCUGGUGACAAACACUUCGAACCUACACAUGACGGCUUUAUGAGUCUCUAGUGAUAAACACCUCAAACCUACACAUGACGACUUUAAUUAUGAGCCUUUGCUGACAAGCACCUCAAACAUGCACAUACGGCUUUACGAAUACAAAAAACUCAUGUUUUUUUAAUUAUUACAUGUUUUCCGACGAUAUACGAUCAAUGGGAGUAGGCAUUCUGGUCGACUAUGAUGACGCAUGUAGCAACUUCGACAAUUUUAAGAUAAUGUACCGGCUCAACCUAUCAAAGAUGCUCGCAAAGAUAGUAUGUGAGUGUGUACAUGUAAGUAUACGUGUGUAUAUACAAGUGUCUGCGCCUAUACUAUGUAUUGUGUUAAAUAACAAUACAUAAAGAUUGUUACGGUUUUCAAAAUAAAAGAAAAACACACGCUUCAAAACGUCAUUGUCUGUACUGUCUAUUAUGUUAAAUAACAAUACAUAAAGCUUGUUACGGUAUUCAAAAUAAAAAAGAACACUUGUUUCAAAACGGCCAAAUUUUUCAUUUUUAAACCCAUCCCUAUUUGUCAACCCAUCCAAUAAGCCGUAUCAAAAGAUUUAACGAGCGAGGUUAGAUGGCUUUGUCCUCACAUGCAUUCCGAAACAGAAUAGGGGCGGAAAAGGGAUCAAAAAAUGUACUUGUGGUGUGGUGUCAUUUCGGCGUUUUGCAAUGCUCCGAAGUACUUAGUACGCAUGCUAAAUGGUAAUCUUCGCAAACAAGAAAAAUAUUAGAUGAGUGAGGGCACUUGAACCAGAGAUGUACGAAAUUAAAACUACUCCCUUCGUUCCUAAAUAUAAGUCUUUCUAGAGGUUUCACUAACGGACAACAUACGGAUGCAUAUAGACAUACUUUAAAGUGUAGAAUCACUCAUUUUAAUUUGUAUGUAAAUCUCUAAUGAAAUUUCUUAGAAGACUUAUAUUUAGAAACAGAGGGAGUUGUUGUUAUUAACUAAAGAUCUCUGGAAAGAUACUAAGAUGGAGAAGUUGGCAACAUUAUUUCAUUUCAUACAUGAUCAGAUAACUAGUGCUUUGCUCGCAGUAAACAUCGCACUGGGCCAGAUCGCCCCAACAUUAUACUACUACUACGGGGCGGCGUACAGAGGUUGCUGCGCACUAGUUGAUCUACAACAUAAUUAGUGGUAGGAGGUCUUCUUGAGGUGCUCCGGCGCGUCCUGGAAGGAAUGCUUCCUGGCCAUGGAGAGGAUGGUCUUGUCGGCGACGAUGAAGUAGGCCAUCCCGGCGACGGUGGAGAUGAUGAGCGCCUGACCGGCGGGGUUCAGGUGCGCCUUGGCCCACGGAAGCAUCCUCACACUCGCCAGCUGCAGAAAAAGGCACGCAAGAAGAAGACGGUGAGAUGAUUAUUCGUUCGACGUCAAAAACUCAGUGGUGCAGGCUGAUAAACGUGUGCUUACGGUGGGCACUGCGGCGGCGACGGUGGCGACGGCCGCGGCCUUGGCUCCNNNNNNNNNNGUUUGGGAUCAACGUACGACUGUUAACCAAGUUCAGGUUUCAGCAGAAACAUAAGCCGCCGCAAUGAAUAGCAUUGCUGGGCUAAGGCUGGAAUCAGUCGUGGGCGCUUGGCGGCGGCGAGCCUCUGGUCGAGGUAGGGACGGGUCACCGUCGACAUGUUCACGGGCGGAGAGCUUGAUGUUGGCGACACGAGAUCGGAAGGAAGUGAACUAGUAGUGGCAGUAGCCCAGUAAUUCUGCGAGAUCGCCGACGGGCUAAGAUGAGUAGCAGUGUGAGCGAUAUGAGAUGAGAUGGGCAGAGCGAGAAUUUACAGGUUGCCGGGCAACCAGCGUGCGGCCGGGUUGACACUUGAUACGGUGGGAAGCAAGCCAGACCGUGUUUUUGAUACCGAGGGCCCGUUUGGUUUCAAAUAAGUCACCAACUUAUAAGUUGAAAAGUACAAAAAGUAGUUUAUUUUGCCAAACAGACCUAACUUAUAAAUCACCCCAACUUAUAAGUCAUAAGUUGCUUCACCCCCACUUAAACCUUAUAAGUCACCCACUUUUGCAUGGUCAGGUGACUUAUAAGUCAGAUGACAACCAAACAUGCGUGAUUUAUAAGUCACUGGUUUUAAGUCACCUGAUUUAAAAGUCACUGGCCCUGUUUGGUUUCAAUAAGUCAGGUGACUUAUAAGUCAGAUGACUCAUCUGACUUAUAAGGUCUGACUUAUAAGUGACCUUUAAGUCAGAUGACUCAUCUGACUUAUAAGUCACCUUUUCAUGCAAAAGUGGGUGACUUAUAAGUUUUAAGUUGGGGUGGAGCAACUUAUGACUUAUAAGUUGGGAUGACUUAUAAGUUGGGUCUGUUUGACAAAAUAAGUCACUUUUGCAUUUUUAAACUUAUAAGUUGGUAUUUGAAACCAAAUAAGGGCUAAGUCAUCUGAUUUAUUGAAAUCAAACAGGGCCCGAUACCGGCGGGCUGUGCGGAGGUUGAUAAAAUCCAUCAGGAUUGGCACGGAGCGUGUUCGUGUGUAGGAUAACAUAUAAGAGCAUGUGCGUGAGUGCAGUGUCACUCAGCGUGCACUCAAUUUUGUUGGCGAGUUGUCUGGGCGGGCGCUCCCAGUUUACGGCCAACCCGUCGGCGAUCCAAUUCUGCGAGCGGCUCGGUGCAGGGCAGAUCCUUUGAACAUUACCAUAUGCCGUAUAUCUAUGCGCGUAGAUAAAGUUGGUCACCCUUUUUGUCGGAGAUAAAGUCGAUCACCAGUUCAAAUAAUAUACUGCUCCCCCCCAUAAAAAAUAAGUGGAGCAUCGCGGUUUACAUCGAAUUGAUCGUAGGGAAUACUAGAAUCUUUAAUAAUCUACAACGGUGAAGACGCAUAGAAUUAACAGUUUUGCUGAAACUCAGCUAGCUGAGUUUUAAGUAUGGUCAUAGUCACUUUAUGUUUCUCUGGUUGUCUCGCUAGAUUCACCCUGUCUUUUGUUAAUUGCGGGAGCCAUGAUGGACGGCUCGUCUCGUAGGAGGAUCAGCCAUGUGCAUGAGUUUUCUCCAGGCCUUUUUGCUUAUUUAAACGAGCUGAGUUUUGUGAGUCUUUUCUUUAUUAACCGACGUAAAGAAAGAUGGGGUCUAAAGAUGCCACGCUGCUAGCUUUGUGCAUGUUUUGUCAUUUGUUCACUAUAGCUUCUAGGGGUAAUAAGUUCUUUCUUUUUUUCUUUUUCUUUUUUGCGGGUGAGGGCUAAGCUCAUUUUAAUUUCUUUUUCUUUUUAUCUUCUUCUCAUGAUGUAUCGUUGUAUUUUUUUUCUUCUGUUUUUCUUUCUUAUUUCACUAUAUAGAGUAGACAAUUGUUUCCCUAUUUUCUCUUUUUCUUGACUUUAGUAUAUUUACUUUGCUUUAGAAUAAAAUUCAUUUGUUACUGGAUAUUUCAAAUUGAUUGUUUAGGUUUUUAGUUUUGCAAAAAAUGUCUCUUAUUUUAUUUUUUUAAAAUACCCAUGUGAACACAAUAAUGAACUUGAGAUUGGAAAAAAGGGGCCGCAACUCUGCUCAGGAGGGGGAGUUGUCGGGGUCACUUGCAUGUUCACCACUAGACGUGCAACUGCAAAUGUUAUGACCUGAAUGCAACUGGAAGUUUCCAUGAGGGCCCGUAACUGCAUGUUUUUAAGACGGGGUCGCAACUGCACAUUUUCAGGAUGAGUUGCAACUGCAUGUUUUUAAGACGGGGUCGUAACUGCAUGUUUACAAGGUGGGCCGCAAUUGCAUGUGUUUUUUAAGAGGGGUCGCAACUGCAUGUUUUUAAGAUGAGUCGCAAUUGCAUGUUUUUAAGAUGGGUCCUAAUUGUAUACCCUCGAUGGGGGUUGUCGCAAUUGCACGCCUUCCAUGGGUUUGAUGUAAUUGCAUGCCUUCAACGGGGUUGCUGCAAUUGCAUGUAUUUUUGAUGGGGGUUGCAAUUACAUGCCUUCCAAGGUUUUGCCGCAUUUGCACGUCUUAUAGGGGUUGUCGCAAUUGCAUGCAUACGACGGAGCCAGUGCAAUUUUGUACCUUCGAUGGGGGGUUGUCGCAACUGGAUGCGUUCCACGUGGUUGUCAACUGCACACCUUCCACGAUUUUUGGUGUAAUUGCAUGCCUUCCACUAGGUUGCUGCAACUGCAUGCCUUCGAUGGGGUUGUUCCAACUGCAUCUGCUCCACGUGUUUUGUUCCAACUGUAUGUGCAAAUGCAUGCCUCCAAAGGAGUUUGUUGGAAUUGCAUGUCGUCGAGGCAUUUUGUUGCAACUGUAUGCCCGUAAGGGUUUUGGGCCAAGUAUAUGUCGAAAAUGGAGAAGUGCAAUAUAACAAACACCUUUGGUUAUAUAUAUGAUGUAAUGCGCUUUUUGUGCGAAUACUGGUGUUUUGAAUGUGUUUUGAAUAUGAUUUAUGCUAAUACCUUUAACGGGGUUGCUGCAAUUGCAUGCGUGCAACAGGGUCGCCGCAACUGCAUGCGUGCAACGGUGUCGCCGCAAUUCGCAUGCCUCCCAACUGAUGUUGUUUGUUGUUGAUGUUGAUGUGACCGCGUGCCUGCCGUAACUGCAUGCCCUCCCAUGUGUUUUUUGCCGCAAUUGCAUGCCUUCCAAUUGAUGUUGUUUGUUGUUCUUGAUGAUGUGACCGCGUGCCCGCUGUAACUGCAUGCCCUCCCAUGUGUUUUUUUCCGCAACUACAUGCCUUCNNNNNNNNNNGUCACUGCAACUGCAUGCCUGCAACGGGGUCGCCGCAACUGCAUGGCUUCGAUGGGGUUUGCUGCAAUUGCAUGCCUUCCAAUUGAUGUUGUUUGUUGUUGUUGUUGAUGUGACCGCGUGCCCGCCGUAACUACAUGUCCUCCCAUAUUUUUUUCCGCAACUACAUGCCUUCAACGGGGAUCGCCGCAAUUGCAUGUCUGCAACGGGGUCGCCGCAACUGCAUGUCUUCGAUGGGGUUUGCCGCAAUUGCAUGCCUUUCAAUGGAUGUUGUUUGUUGUUCUUGAUGAUGUGACCGCGUGCCUGCUGUAACUGUAUGCCCUCCCAUGUGUUUUUUUCCGCAACUACAUGCCUUCAGCGGGGGUCACCGCAAGUGCAUGCCUGCAACGGGGUCGCCGCAACUGCAUGGCUUCGAUGGGGUUUGCCGCAAUUGCAUGCCCUCCAAUUGAUGUUGUUUGUUGUUGUUGUUGAUGUGACCGCGUGCCCGCCGUAACUGCAUGCCCUCCCAUGUGUUUUUUUCCGCAACUACAUGCCUUCAACAGGGAUCGCCCCAAUUGCCUGUCUGCAACGGGGUCGCCGCAACUGCAUGGCUUCGAUGGGGUUUGCCGCAAUUGCACGCCUUCCAAUUGAUGUUGUUUGUUGUUGUUGAUGAUGUGACCGCGUGCCCGCCGUAACUGCAUGCCCUCCCAUGUGUUUUNNNNNNNNNNAUCAUCGCAAUUGCAUGUCUGCAAUUGGGUCGCCGCAACUGCAUGUCUUUGAUGGGGUUUACCGCAAUUGCAUGCCUUUCAAUGGGGUUUGCCGCAACUGCAUAGCUUCGAUGGGGUUUGCCGCAAAAAAACAUAAAGGGUUCAUGAGGUUUUUGCAUUUCUUAUUUUUUUCCCUAGCAUGCAGUCGGGUCAUAAGAACAAAUUGAGCAAAUAUGGAUAGCGAAUAAACCUUGCUUCAGAAAUAGAAAAACGAAAAAAUAGGAAGGCGGCAAGUGUUACCUUGGGUGUUGUAGUUAGUGAUACUUGACAGAUCAAUCUGGGUUGGUUCUUUUGAUUUUCUCAAUUUGUUCGUCUAUCUCAAUACGCAAGUACAAGUUUGAAGUCGGGUCGUAACUACAAGUUUCAUAGUCGGGUCACAACUCUGAAUUUUCAUAGUGGAGUCACAACAACAAACUCCAUCAUUUAGAAAGAUGAUGAUUUUUCAAUAAAAAAAAUAAAAAAACAUGAGACAAGACCGGGAUUGAUCCUGUGCGCCAGAGGCAUCAUGCUGGUGACUACUGCUGAACUAAAUCAAAACUAAAAAAAGCAAAAACACUCGUUUUUAGGACAGCAAAGAGAACACUCCAUAAAUGUGUUAUGGCAACUAAAAUUAUGUUGUACAUGCCAGCCGAGUAAGACGUAUAUACUUUUCUUAUGGGUUAGUAUGUUUGCUCUAGCCAUCGGCGACAAGAGUAGUAAAAAGGCCAAGCCUGAAAAAGCAAUACGGCAUGUGGAAAUCAUGGGGAGAAUAAAAAAAAGCCAACCAACAUAUAUGAUGAUGUCAUGUGAAUGAGACCAUAGAUAAAUCUUAGCUAGCUGAGUUCUAGGUGCUCCCUAGAAUUAACUAGCAGGUAGUGCGCGGCGGCACGCCGCGCCACAUGAAUUGAAAAAAUAUUUAGUUCUUUUACAUAAUAUUUAAUAAAUCGUCUUAAAAUUUGAUUCGUGGUAAAGUAGUCGAUAAAUGAAAAGGAUAUGUCUAGUUGGAUCUACAAAGUUCUUGUUCUUUCCUUGGACCUAGGAUAUUGAUCCUCUAGCUGAGUCGAUGUACUGGUUUUUUUUAGAAAAGGAGGAUGACCCCCGGCAUCUGCAUCUGGAAGAUGAAUGCGGUCAUUUUAUUGAUUAUUUUCGAGAACCUUACAAAACAGUACAACAAUAUGCCUGAAUCCGUCAUCUUUGCAACAUUUGUCGCUACUCCUAUCCAUAUGAUGAAGGGGUGCAAGCUGGACCAAAUACCCAUACCUCUCACCUAAGCCUAACUUCUAAAGCCGGAGACCCUGACCGGGCCACAUACCGGAUCCGGGGCACAAACCGGUCUGACACACUCACAUGUGUCAUCACCGCCAUCUUCCAUUGGUCCAUCUUCAUAUCAGAUUGAGGUACCAGCCUUGGCAGGUGUCUCCGCCAUCGACGCCACCAUGACGCCAAACGACAACCUCCACCUACGCGAGUCCAUCUCCAAGCAACGGACGGAGAUCCAUGCUAGGAUAGGGCCGCACCACCGCCGUUGCCCACCACCCACAAGCGCCACCCAGCCCCAAGAUUCCCAAAGAGGCGCCUUCAAGAAGGGAACGACGUUGUGAGCGCCGCCGCCGCCCAACAAAGUUAAGGCUUUCGCCCGGAAGACCUAGGGAAAGGGGAAGUGAGGGGAUCAGUCCAUACCGACGCCUCCAAGGAGGGGAACGGCCCCCUCAGGCGUCGCCGUCGACGCGGCCGGCCAUGGCCGACCAGGGAUUUCGCCCGAACUAGAUCCCCACCACCAGCAGCACCUCCUGUACAAAACCGACAAUCCAAGGAAGCGCGGCCUGACCAGGCUGGCCCGCACGCCGAGCAGGGGAGGAGGGGAGGCGCCAGAUCGCGCGCACCGACCACCGCAAAAGCUGCCGCCAGACGCCAACGACCACCGGGUCCCGUCGCCUGCGCGGCCGAGACGCCGGAUCCACCUCCCGCACGGCUGCUAGCCUGUCGUGCCUCGCCAAUGUAGCCGUCGCUCCAGAUCCGGGACUCCGCAUGCAGAGGCAGGGCAGCCUAGGCCCCGCCGCCACCAUCCUUGGCGUCCCGAGCUUGCCCGGCGGCUGCCUCAGGCGGCGGCGAGGAAGGGAGGGGGAGGGGGAGGCGGCUNNNNNNNNNNNNNNNNNNNNNNNNNNNNNNNNNNNNNNNNNNNNNNNNNNNNNNNNNNNNNNNNNNNNNNNNNNNNNNNNNNNNNNNNNNNNNNNNNNNNUUACAUAAAAGGUUUAAUACAUUAUUACAUUAUUGCACCAAUAUUCCUAUCUAUUAUUUCUGUUUUCUUCUGGGUCGUAGCCAUGGAGAAUCUUCAUCAUUCAGUAGGAUGCUUGGGUCAGUUUUCACUUUGAAGGGCGGAAUUUCAUGAAACUUAUUAUAAUCUUCUGACAUGUCUGUCUUGUCAUCUACUCCCACGAUGUUUCUUUUCCCUGAAAGAACUAUGUGGCGUUUUGGCUCAUCGGAUGAUAUCUUCUUUUGCUGAUUUCUUUUUCUCGUUAAUGUAGACAUGUCUUUCACAUAGAAAACCUGAGCGACAUCAUUGGCUAGGAUAAAUGGUUCGUCCAUGUAUGCAAGAUUGUUAAGAUCCACUGUUGUCAUGCCGUACUUUUGGUCUACAACUAACCCGCCUCCUGUCAGCUUCACCCAUUUGCACCGAAAUAAAGGGAUCAUAAAAGUAGGUCCAUAGUCAAGUUCCCAUAUCUCCUCUAUGUACCCGUAAUAUGUUUCCAAACAGUGCCCAUUCUCGUCUGUUGCAUCAAAGCGGACACCACUAUUUUGGUUGGUGCUCUUUUUAUCUUGGGCAACCGNNNNNNNNNNNNNNNNNNNNNNNNNNNNNNNNNNNNNNNNNNNNNNNNNNNNNNNNNNNNNNNNNNNNNNNNNNNNNNNNNNNNNNNNNNNNNNNNNNNNUUGUAAUGGAGCUUCGCCGGAGCAUCGGUGCUGUGUUGGAGCUCCACCGGCUGCAAUGGAGUUUUUCGAAGUUGCAAUGGAGCUCGUCGGACGCUGUCGGUGCUGCAUUGGAGCACCAUGCGGCCUCUGUUCCAUGUCGGGAAUUUAAUCUGACGAUGAGGGCUCGUUCAAUCGGACGGCUACCUAGGAGGAUUACGACUGGUACAAAUAGCAGCCGCCUUUGGAAAAUGGUCACAACUCGUGUCCGAAAAAAUAUUACUUAAAGCAUCUACAAAGGCAACUUGUAAAUUCGUUCUAUCAAAUGUAUGCAGACACGCCUAAACUUAGAUGUACUGUUCCUUCAUUUUAAAAUAUGUCUUUUUAAAAGAUUUCAAUGAAAACUACAUGUGGAUGUAGAUAGUAGAGUGUAGAUUUAUUUAUUUUGCUUCACAUGUAAUUUAUAUUAAAAUCUGUAAAAAAGACUUAUAGUAUUUAGGAACGAAGAAAGUAAUCGGUUAGCCCGACAUAAAGUUGUUAAUAAUAUACUCCCUUCGUCUAAAAAAUAAGUGACUCAACUUUACACUAACUUUAGUAUAUAAAUUAAAUUAUUUUUGAGUCAUUUGUUUUAAAACGAAAGGAGUAAUACUCAUCUACUCUCUCCGUAAACUAAUAUAAGAGUGUUUAGAUUACUAUUUUAAUUAUCUAAAUACUCUUAUACUUCAUCCGUCUUAAAAUUCUUGUCUUAGCUUUUAUCUAGAAAUGAAUGUAUCUAANNNNNNNNNNNNNNNNNNNNNNNNNNNNNNNNNNNNNNNNNNNNNNNNNNNNNNNNNNNNNNNNNNNNNNNNNNNNNNNNNNNNNNNNNNNNNNNNNNNNNNNNNNNNNNNNNNNNNNNNNNNNNNNNNNNNNNNNNNNNNNNNNNNNNNNNNNNNNNNNNNNNNNNNNNNNNNNNNNNNNNNNNNNNNNNNNNNNNNNNNNNNNNNNNNNNNNNNNNNNNNNNNNNUAUAUCUUGUAAGAAAUUAGUAUAUCUUUGGUGAGGAAAUUGGAACACAAGGUUGCAUGCAACGUGCCUGGCUGGCUGGACGGGAGAAGACAGAAGAGCUCUGUAACAAGAGAAGAAAGAAGAGAAGCAAGGAAGGUGGCUCUUGUUACCGGCGAUCAGUGGCCGGUCCAACUCCAUGGCCGGAGCUUCCGCCGGCGGCUUCGUCGGCCUCGGACUCCACCCACCACCGGUGCCUGUGCCGGUGCGACCGCGCGUCCGAGAGAGAGAGAGAGANNNNNNNNNNNNNNNNNNNNNNNNNNNNNNNNNNNNNNNNNNNNNNNNNNNNNNNNNNNNNNNNNNNNNNNNNNNNNNNNNNNNNNNNNNNNNNNNNNNNNNNNNNNNNNNAGAGAGAGAGAGAGAGGGACCGUGCUUAUAUAUAUGUAUGUAGGAGAUGAAGCGAGACUCAGUCAAGCAGUCUCUCCCCUCGAUGGGACUGCUACAGAUCGAAACCGCGUGCGGUGGGCAGGUGGAAGGGGGAGCUGACCGCAGUCCGCAGGUCAUCGCCUGACCACUGUUUUGUACCACCACUAACAUAACACUGUAAACCAGCGUUGCUCUCUCGGCUUUAUUGCACAACAGCAAGUUGCCAUCGCGUCAUCUAAGUGAGCUCGACCAAGCCGGCGUCGUGGCAGAAUCCGGUGCUCGCUUGACCGGACCCGCUCCCCGCGCGCGCGUGCCUUUCCUCCCAGUAGCUCGUAUUUGACCCGCUCCUAAUGAUCGUUUCUCUCUCUCUCUCNNNNNNNNNNNNNNNNNNNNNNNNNNNNNNNNNNNNNNNNNNNNNNNNNNNNNNNNNNNNNNNNNNNNNNNNNNNNNNNNNNNNNNNNNNNNNNNNNNNNNNNNNNNNNNNNNNUCUCUCUCUCUCUCCCUUUUGAUUUCUUUUUUCUGCGGUAGCAUGCAUGACAAUCCGUCCUGCCGUAGGCAGAAUAUAUUCGUGGACGCACUCCACGCACGUGGCAAAUACUACUCCCUUCGUUCUUAAAUAUAAAACAUUUUAAAAAUCUCACUAUAAACUACAUGCAUACGGAGUAAAAUGAACGAUAUAUAUCCGUUUGCAGUUUCUAAUGAAAUUUCUAAAAGGUAUUAAUAUUUAGGAACGGAGGGANNNNNNNNNNNNNNNNNNNNNNNNNNNNNNNNNNNNNNNNNNNNNNNNNNNNNNNNNNNNNNNNNNNNNNNNNNNNNNNNNNNNNNNNNNNNNNNNNNNNAGGUGCUACCUUCCGGGCGCGCAUCUUGGUGAAGAACUAGGUUCCCGUCGUCGACCGAGAACUUCUUUGGUGGCGGUCACAUGGACGACUUUAGGUGCGGAGGCAGCCGGCCCCCGAGGAGGAGGUACAUCGCCGUGUCAGGGAGGAGGACGAACACGUCCAUCGCUACAUUGAGGCGUUUGGCGUCAGGUUCUCUGAUACCUGGCAGGUUCUUCAGGGAUCUCACCCGAGCUAUGAUCCUCUGAUGGUUCCUUCUCUUUGGGUGUCCAUCGUCCGCGCCUCAGUACAUCGAUAGCUCUUUGGGUGGUCUGUUUAAUAAUAUUCGAGAUAUGUAUUAGUGAUAAUACUCGAGAUGUAUUCGACAAAAUAUUCUGUGAUGCAUUAAGUGGAUUAUUUGAUGUAUUACUGAUAUUAUAUAUGAUGAUCUUGCUAGCUAAAGUGAAUACUAGAUUGUUUUAUCUUUCUUCUUGAUUAGUUAAGCUAUGGACGGUAGAGACAGAGACCAUGAUCAAGAGUAUGUCUUGUUCGACAUGAUAUGCUCCGGAAACAAAAAGAAUUAAGAAGCAGAUGAUGGCUCACAAUAUCUUAACCUAUCCAGUGAGGGAAUAGAGGAAGAACAACCAAGAGACGAAGGGGAACCUGACAAUGUAUUAAUUGAUUUACACACACACACACACNUAUAUAUAUAUAUAUUAACGAAUCUCUUCUUUUAGCCCUCCGGAUCGAGCAAACCUUCUACAAGAAGGGCAAUACGAGGCCCGGCCAAAAAGUUGCCCGAGGGCACAAGGUACAACAUCGACGAGAUAACAUUAGGGGGUGAACCAAAUGCCCCCAAAAAGAAUAUGGACAAAUUUGUUCGUCAAUGCAGAGUUAUUGUUAGGGACCAAAUCCCGAUCUCCAUUCAACCAACCGGUCUUGAGAUUAAGGUAGUCAGUCUAAACACCUCAUUAUCGACGGAAACGAAUAUUCUGUUGGAUCUGUAUGCAAGAAGGAAACACAGUUGGAUUGGGAGGCAGGGAAAACAACAUCUUCUGUAGUACAUAGAUUUAUUUCAUAGACACCUUUGCAUCGGAUCGGUAGGAGAUUGACGGUAGUGCAGAGUAGGAGAUGGGGAUUACCUUCUCCCUGGCUCGAAGAGCUCGCCCCAGAGGCCAUGGUAGUGGGGCGUCGGUGAUGACGACUGAGAACGAUGUGGUGGCGGUGGUGCUUCCCGUGAGCACUACGCUAGUCCUAGUUUGGAAGGGUUUGUCGGUGGGGUGUGUGGUGGCGGCGAAUCUCAUAGUCCGUGCCCCAGCCCCCCACCUCUGUUAAUAUAGCGCGGAUCACAGGGGCCCACCAACCAUAAUGGGUGUGGCGCCCCCGAUCAGGGCNNNNNNNNNNNNNNNNNNNNNNNNNNNNNNNNNNNNNNNNNNNNNNNNNNNNNNNNNNNNNNNNNNNNNNNNNNNNNNNNNNNNNNNNNNNNNNNNNNNNGUGCGCGUAGGAAAAAUUUUGUUUCCCAUGCGACGUUCCCCAACAGAAAUAAGUACCAGUACCUGAGAUUUUGAUGGUCUCUAGGAAUGUGAAAAUUAGAUACUUGUGACUGCUAUAAAGUCUAUGUUAGNNNNNNNNNNNNNNNNNNNNNNNNNNNNNNNNNNNNNNNNNNNNNNNNNNNNNNNNNNNNNNNNNNNNNNNNNNNNNNNNNNNNNNNNNNNNNNNNNNNNNNNNNNNNNNNNNNNNNNNNNNNNNNNNNNNNNNNNNNNNNNNNNNNNNCUAACAUAGACUUUAUGAAGGGUCUACAAGGCAAAUAUGACUCCAGAGGAAAUAUGUAAAUGUGUAAAACAUGACUUAAAUCGAAAUAUUUUGUGCAAAGAAAAUGAGAGGACAAUUGCAUUCUUGCAAAGUUAUAGAAUGGGAAAUUUGUUUCCCAAUUCCUAUGCAUGUGGAUGAUGUCCUACUUGCUAGUGGUGAUGUCAAUCUACUGCAGGAGGAGAAAAGAAGUUCUUGUCCUCAAAGUUCAAAAGAAUAAAAGGGGGUAUUAGGAAUGUUGCAUGGACAUGCUAAGAAAGAUCUCUAAAGUAUGCAUACGACAAAACCUACGCAUGUUCUUAUAGUCAAGGGUAAUGGAAGUGGAAACUAUGGUGUUCCAAAAGUUAAUAAGAAAAGAUUGUAAACGGAUAUGGUACCAUAUGCUUCAGUUGUUGGAAGCUCAAGAUAUUACCCUGACACUGUUCACGUAUAUAUCCGGGUUGUUUUGGCAAUGUCCAGUCCAUAGAUAAAUCAAUGGAAUGGAGUCAAAGAUAUCGGCCUCAUGCUAAAAGAAAUAAGUGCUCUCAAAAGAUUGUGAGUACAAAGGCAGGACUUGUGAAAUGAAUAGCGAAAUCAACAAUUGUCGCUAACUUUCAUACUCGGAGUUUUGUGUGGAAAAUCUCCAAAUGAGUGAAACGAUUGUCAUCAAUGUGAUGCAAUGAUAUGUUAUAACUUUAUAUGAGGCUGAGGGAUAGGCGAAAUGGUUAAUGGCUACAUAUACCCGGAAUUGAUAAUGGUUGACAACAACGAUAACUAUUUUAAAUUCUUUCGCUCCUGUCACAACGAGUCAAGUGUUGAUGCCAAACACACUGACAAAGAGUUAUGUGUUGUGAAGGAGAAAGUCCAGAAUUAUGAAAAAAUGCUUGAAGCAUAAAAGCAACAAACAAGUGUUUGCAGAUCUGCUUAUCAAAGGCUUACCGCCCCGUGUGUUCGGAGAACACACAGUCGACAUGGGUUUUAUGGUAUAGUCUAAUAUUUUCCGGACAAUAAAGGGCCCAAGGUUAAAGAAUCUGUCUCAAAAUAGAGAGGUACAUUAUGGAUGUCUGAUUCCAUCGGCAAUUGAGCCGUGACGAUGAAACAUGCCCUAUGUAUUGAUCUGUUACGAAACGGGUAAAAGUAUAUGAUGACAUCAAGGGGGAGAAUGUUAGAUUGAUCUCUUUCCUAAUGGGCCCAACGGCCCAUUGGACCUUGACUCACGCCCUGAUCAGGGGCGUCCAGCCCAAGCAAGGCUGGUGGGCCCUGUCGCGCAGUGUUGUAUAUAGAGGAGGUGGGGACCAUGGCACAGACUACAAGGUUCGCCGCCGCCACUGGUUCCCCACUCCUAACCCUAAUCCGAUCUAGAGGGAUGCACUAAAGCGAUGGGAAGUCCACCGCCGCCGCUACCGCAUCUCUCUCUGGUUCCCCACCGUCGCCACUACGUCACGACAGUCACCGAGGGAACUCAUCGAGCACGGGAUAAGGUAACAUACCACUACUCUCAUCGAACACAUCUAGACUUGUCGAUCCACGGGAUCUAUCAAACCGUGCAUACCCUUGAGCAUUAGCCAAGUUUAUAUCUACUUAAUUAUUGUGACAAAUAGAAGUGGAUAUUCAUUUGUGUCAGAUGGGGAGAAAAUAUAAAUAAUCUUUGUGUUCUUUUUCCUUUUUAGAAACAGGCAGGUAGUUAGUAUCUUGCCCGGAUACUAUGUAUACAGCCAGUAAAGAUCAACCAUAUAAUUUUCCUAUGUAUGGACUGAUACAAAAAUUAUUAAAAAAUAAGGUCUAGAUUUUAAACCCUAAACCGGUACAAUUAAUAGCACAGAUCCUUUAUCAUAUACUCCCUCUUUUCGGAAUUACUUGUCACACAAAUGUAUAAGAAUAGAUGUAUCUAAAACUAAAAUAUAUCUAGAUACAACCAUUUAUGUGACAAGUACUUCCGAAUGGAGGGAGUAUUGUAAGAAUCACAAUAAUAUAGAUAAUUUAACACCUUAGUCUUGUAUCACAGAUUCGACAGCAAAAGAAUUGUCAUUUACUAAAUGAAAAGCCUAACUGCAGUUAGCAGUAAGAGUGGGCAUCUAAACAAUUAUUAUACACACCUCUAACCUGAGAGUGCUUGGUUCACAGAAAGCCUUUUAUGUGUAUGCAAAUGUAAAUUUCUCCCAGGAAAACAUCAUUUGAGAGCAUAUCAAAGCAUACAUAUUAUGUACUAUCUGCAUAAGUGCAUAACCUGAUUUUGUUUGAAGAAAAUGAAAACCAUGAAUGACAAAUUGAAAAGCUCACGGUACCUAAGAAAUUAAUGAACAGGAAUUUGAUUUCCCCUCACACAUUAACACAAGCAUGGUACCAGCAGGUUAGAUCGAGGCACAAACGUCAACCAGGGAAGCACGUGAAAUAAAAGAGGAAGGGCACUACAAGAGAAAAAGAGUUAUAUCUAACGGGCGGACAGCCGGAGCUUCUUUGUAGCUCCCGUGGCCACAAUCUCGCAGCGGAGGCGCGCAACAUGUUGAUCCCGUGGCGGACCACGAGUGCACGGUAGCAGCAGGCCGCAACAGCUCCACGGCGAUCGAGCGCAUCCUGCAUUGAUGCUAGGGACGUCGUAUGCACGCGCGUUGCCGGUCACCAAAAAGGCGACGUUGGGCGGAAGCAAGGAGUGGCGGAGAGGAGAUGGGGAGAGGACGGUCAGGGGCGCCGCGCCCGUAGGUGAGGUGAGGUGAGGUGAGAGCCCGGCUGUGGAGCUCUUUACGAGUGACAUAUUGAUCUUUGAAUUUGGCAUAAUUUUUUAUGAGCACCCAACAAUGCGUGAGGAUGAGUGGCUUGUUCUUAUGUCGUGCCUUGAAAUCUUCAAAAGAUUAAAAUGCCUACACAACAUGAAUGGACACAAAAUGCCUACACAAUAAAAAGCAUGCCAACAUGAAUGGACACAAAAUNNNNNNNNNNNNNNNNNNNNNNNNNNNNNNNNNNNNNNNNNNNNNNNNNNNNNNNNNNNNNNNNNNNNNNNNNNNNNNNNNNNNNNNNNNNNNNNNNNNNNNNNNNNNNUGAAUGGACACAAAAUAAAAAUGUGAGAGGUACAUACCAAGUCACCAACGCCUAGGCCACUCAUGGGACCGGCUUGGACGCUCUCAAGCGCGGCACAAUACUUGUUGCAUCCUUGUUGAAUGAAUCCCCAUCACUUUUGGAUUAAGUUGAUGUUGCGAGUACUCACAAUUUGGUAGGGACAAACUUCCUUCGCUCAUGGAAGGUACCCCUUGUCCAAAAGAUGGAUGCCUUUUGCUCGGCACCUUUUAUUGGAUCUUCCCCUAUCUCAAUCCAACUCUCGCAAAUCAAUUUAUCCUUAUUUUGGGUGUAUGACCCCACGCAAAUGAUUUGCCUCCUCUUUUGUGCCUCGGCCAUUUGAGUGAGCUCAUCGAUAAACACCAAUGCCUCUUGCAAAAUGUGGACCUUGUCUUCCUCAUUUUCACAAUAUAACUCAUCAUCAAUAUGCCAUGAGUUGACAUGGUUGUCCUUCUCUUCAUCAUGGCCGACGAAUUUAGUGUCCUCAUAGUGGUCGCGGUCGUCCUGGCUCUACCUCUCGUUGGGACCGACAGCCUGGCCUUGACCCUCGUAGUGAAAGGCCUAACCACGGCCCUCGUAGAUGACGCUCUCNNNNNNNNNNNNNNNNNNNNNNNNNNNNNNNNNNNNNNNNNNNNNNNNNNNNNNNNNNNNNNNNNNNNNNNNNNNNNNNNNNNNNNNNNNNNNNNNNNNNNNNNNNNNNNNNNNNNNNNNNNNNNNNNNCGAGCAAUCACGAUAGUCGGUUGUGGGCGUCGGAAGUGGUAUUGUGUCGAACAACUUACGGGCGUCGGAUAUGGUUGCCAUCGGGAAUGACCGGGGCUGCUUACUGUGUGUCCCGCCAGUCGUCUGGCCAGCGCCACUUUACAUCUGUACCUCGGCAUCAUGUUUUAGGUCGAUGACCCCCGCGGACGUGGCGGGAGCAACCACGUUGUACUCCGGCGGCGUGGAGAACCAUGUCUGCCCAUGGCUGUCCGAAGGACGGCACCCUGGCGUCUCGGGUGUGGUGGAUCUGUACUGAGGAGGACGAGCGGCCGACGGUCCCAUGCUCGCCGUGGCCAUGGCAGCGAUCGAGAGGAUGACUGACUGUAGUCCUCCCAACCCUAACAUGAGGAGGGUGUGCCCGUUGGAGAUGAUGGAUUCCUUGUUGUCAAUGUCGGCAAGAUGUUGCGCUUGACGCGGGGCGGCGGCCUCGACGACGUAGGCCGCAACCGCCAUCAUCUCUCCCACCUUUAAAUGCCAGUCCCUCCUCUUCGCCAAGUCGGCAUUGAGUUUGGCGAUGAUCGCCAACGUGAGCUCGGAGCGAGGCUUCCUGGGACCCUUGGGACCCUUUUCUUCGCCGUGAGGGGCGCGGCUGCUACCGCAUCGCCAGGGUUUAUUGCGUCGCCGUCCAUGAAGGAGGGAGGGGAAGGGACGCGCGAGAGAGUUUGAGCGAUAUGGAGAGAGAGUGGGAGGGGUGUGUCCCGGAUUGGCGUGCCAAAGGAGGACAAUGGCGCGCAUCAUGCCCGUCGGCGCGCUGUCUGUUUGACUGCAAACGCAACCCAAACUUGAACUCGAAAUGGGUUGAAAACUCCCGUGCGUUGGGCCGUGGUUUAUGCCUGUUUACAUCUAAACGAAUGCAGGCGGACGAGUUAACGUCGUGCCUUGUGGUUGCCUUAGAGCAACUCCAACCGGCCGACCCAAACGGACAGCGAUUUUGUUCGCUUUUCGUCCGUUUGGGUCAUCCAUCGGCUCCGUGUUCACCCGGGUUACGAUUUGAUUUGAGUCGGUAGCGUGUCCAAUGCGCCAACCCAUAUUUGUCCGUCUGGCCGGCUAGCGCCGGUUUUUGAACAAAUACGGAUAUUUUAUAUAUUUUGCAACAGCAAAUGAUAUAGCAUAGUUUCACAAUCAAAAAUAAAAUAUAGAAAAGUUUUUCAAACCCAAUAAAAGUUUAGAUUGUCUACAAAAUACAGCUAGUCAUUGCCAACAUCAUACCACAUAUGCUCAACCAAAUUAUCUUGCAACUGAAUAUGAGUUUCCAAAUUACGCAUUGCGUGAGGAAAUGGGAUGAACUGUGCAAACGAUGUCGCUUCUCCGCCAUGCUGAGGCACCACAAUGGGCGGCGGCGACGGCGAGGGGACUAGGACCGAGGCGAGGCGAGGGCUAGAUGCGGGUGGAAAACGACCAAUGUGCCACCGACUCGCGGGCCAGGGAAUGGUCGUAGUGUGCGUCGUCCGUGUCUGCUUUGUGUCCGCACCGAUUCAAAUCAGGCUCAAAAUUGGGUCGAAAAUGGAUCGGCAAGCGGAAAAAUGUGAACACGCGUCCGUUUAUGUCAGGGCGUUAGACCGUCUUUUAUAUCCGUGUGUAUCUAAAUGUACGGCGACGCAGGAAAUGUGUCGCUCUGUUGGAGUUGCUGUUAAAGAAAAACGGAGUAGGAGUGCAAUGACUUUCUUUUCUGAGCGAAGACAAGAUGUGUGAUAGUACAGUAAUGCUAGGCCUACGUAGCUAUAAUACAUAGACUAACCUAAUAGUUUAGGUGGCGUUUUUUAAUUUGAGAAAAUUAGGGAAGGGGCCCACCCAGUUGAAAUCAGGGCUGAAAGGAUUAGUAGUUAGUUAAGUUACGUAGUCUUAUGUAAAUUUUUAUGUAAGCGUAGCAUUUUUGCACGUGAAGCAGAGAGUUGUACAAAUGUUACUAGUAGCAGUUGUUUAUUCAAAAAUGCUAGACUUACGAAUUGUUUUACGUAAAGUUACGAACCUCUGGCAAGAUAAUAAGAUAAUACUCCUGAAGAUAAUACACGGCUACAUAAAUUAUUACUGCACAUCAUCAUCAGAUAAGUGCAUGAAGAAGAAGGAAGAAAACAAAAGAAAAAGUACAUGAAGGAGGAGAAGCGCACUACAUCAUUCGGCACUGCCCCUGUCACAGUGUCACUGAACACUAUACAGUCUAUCAUCAUUCAUUCACACAUUCAUCAGACACGUACGGCCGUCGAUCAGUUUAUUGCGCCCGCCCUAGCUAAUCACGGCGUCUAAUUAGUGGAAGGAGGUGUUCUUGAGGUGCUCCGGCGCGUCCUGGAAGGAGUGCUUUCUGGCCAGGGAGAGGAUGGUCUUGUCGGCGACGAUGAAGUAGGCCAUCCCCGCGACGGUGGAGAUGAUGAGCGCCUGCCCGGUCGGGUUCAGGUAUGCCUUGGCCCACGGCAGCAUCCUCACGCUCGCCAGCUGAAAUCAUGGAUAGCAGAUUCAUGAGACAUGCGAUCAACUAUGGAGCGCGCGAUCUCCUCCAACAACCAAAUGGCUAGCUUUCUGGAUACUUACUGUGGGCACUGCGGCUGCGACGGUGGCGACGGCCGCGGCCUUGGCUCCGGCCAUGGCAGCCUCUGCAGCACACACAUGUAACAUGUUAAUCGCAAUCAAGUUCCGACAGACACAGACAGCACAUAAAUAAGCCGCAAUGCAUAACGGAACCGGCCGUCGCUCGUUGGUUACCUACCUCUGGAGCAGCGCUUAGCUGCGGCGAGCCUCUGGUCGAGGUAGGCGCGGGUGACCGUCGACAUCUUCCUUCGCCGGGAGCAGAGCUUGGUUGUACGAGAUCGGAAGGAAGUGAACGAGCAGUAGCAGCAAAGCCAAGUGCAGUAGCUAAAAAGAUGAGUAAGUAGUAGUAGCAGUAGGUGGAGUGAGGUGCGGUGGGGAGAGCAAGGUGCUCCGGCGAGAUUUAUACGUAGUUCGCAUGAAACCGCGAAACCGGCGUGCCGGGAGGAAGACGGACUUGAUACGGUGGGAAUCAAGACCACGGUUUUGAGACGAGCGAGCGGUGGUACCGGCGGGAGGGCGCCUCGCUGCAGCAGAGCACAGCACAGGUGGCCGCGCCUCGUUCGUCGGUCGUAUAAAAAUGGGAGCACUCCACUACACUUUGCACUGGAUAAGAGGAGGCAUCGAUGGGGGGUUGGCACGGCGCUAGCGCGCGUAGGAUAACACGUAGGAGCAUGUGCGUGAACGCAGUGUCACUCAGCGUGCACUCCGUUUCGCUUCAGAUCUGUGUGUGUGCGGCGCGCUGCCAGUUUUCGGCCAACCCGUCGGCAAUCAGGCAAUUCCGCCGGCGGUUUGCUGAUUUGGAUCGUCUGUUUUUAUCGUCGGUUUGCUUUGGCACGCGCAUUUUAUCAGUUUUUCGUUAGUUUGGAUUGUUUAUUACGUGGAUUUUUUUUUUGCGACGAUUGUUUACGUGGAUUUGCGCGUCCGUAUUUUUACAUGGGUCGGCUUAAGCGUCCAAGGAAAGACUGAUCCAAAUUUAUUCGCGUAGAAAAAAAAUAACACGUCGAAGAAAAAACACGCGGUGGUGGAGGAGGCGGGAUGAAGAGCAGGGCAUGGACGGAGUCCCCUACCGCCGAACAAGCCGCUCCAUCCCAUCCCAUUGGGCCUCCUCGAUCUUGCUCGCCUCCAGUGCCUCAUGCACGACUCGCUCGAGGGCAGCUUGGUACGCCUCCUCUUCGUCCUCCUCGUGCAGCAGAACCUCAGGCAGCGGCGGAGGAACAUCGUAGUCAACGUGCACGACCCGGCGUCGCUCCUUCUCGUGCUCUAGCGCCAACCAACGCUCCCAGUUGGGGGAGUCUGGCGAGUAGGCACGCAUCUGCCGCUGCUCCAGAGUGAGGGUCUCACGACGCCGGAGAACCUCCUCGGCCUGCGCCCACGUCGAGCGUGGCACUGCUGGAAUAGGGACCCGUUGCGGAUGCAGAUACCAGUCGUGAGGCAGGUUGACAUCCGGAUACUGCACUGGCCGGUGGUACUGUCAGGGAGGAGCACUGCAUGGCCAGAUGUGGACGGGGGUUGUAAGUGGAUGAGGCCGUCCUCACCGCAUGCUUUCAUAAAAAAGGAAGGGCACAUGGACCGCCCACACACUACCAAGAGGGCCCCUAGGUAGGUGACGGCAUUUAAUAAGACAUGGCUGGUGGUUGGGCGGUGCACAAGUGGGACCGCGGCGGACAUAGACCGGCCGCGCGGCACGCCCGCAUCGCGUCUGCGUCGAUGCAUUUCAGACGCAAUUUUGGGUCGGAAAUAGGUCCGUGCGGACGCAAUGCGUACGGAUUUUGGGAAUGGGUCGCCGCGUUGGGCCGGCGCUUUUGUCUCUGCGACUCUAACGAACGUGGACGGACAAAAUGGGUCGCCUCGUUGGAGUUGCUCUUAUAUAUCCAAAUGGAUAUAUAUUAUCAUGAUUUAUUAUUGUUAACAUUAUCUUUAAGGUAAAAUAAGUUAAGUGGCAAAUUAUUUAAGCCCCAAUCUUCCUACAUGUCCUAUAUAAACAUGAGCUUCGAAAAUAUGUCUUGAGCGUGAGCAAUCAUAGAAGAUUAAAUGAUAGUUGAGUAUAUGAACGUGUAAAAAAACUCUUACAUAGACUUUUCUCUGAAAUAUAAUGAAUUAUGAUUGUCUCAAUGACUGAGAACAUUGUUUGUUGAUUGUCAAUAAAGUUUAUUCUUCUUACUCCAAUAUCUAUGAAUGGAUUAUUACUUGUUUAUGAGGAGCUAUAUAAUAAAAUACUUACUACUAUGUUAAUAUUCCUCAUGCUCUCAUGUUCGUAUUAUAUUUUUAUCAACACCUCUCUCUUAAAUCUUGUGGUAAUUAUUUUCAAGUUUGGAUUUUGCUUGAGGACAAGCAAGGUCUAAGCUUGCAAAAGUUGAUAAGUCCAUUUUGCAUCAUUAAUUAUUAUUAAUAUUUGUAUUAUUCUUGUCCAUUAUUUCUUAUUAUCACAUCAUUCUUAUGUCAUUUCUCUUUGAAUAUGUAAGGUAUAUCAUAAAGAGGGAAAUAUCUGGACAUUGAAAUUCUGAACCGGGAAACCGGAAAAAGGCAAAAAAAUCAAGAUGCUCCAAAUGGUGUGAAACUUGACGAAGAAUUUUUCCUUAAUAUUUAAAAAUUACUGGGUCAAAAAUAUGCCACAAGGGAGCCACCUAUUGGCGCCAAGGCAACAGGGCGCGACCACGCCCUUGUUGGCCCUUCUGAUGUCCCUCUCCUCUUAUAUGGCGUGUUUUGACCUAGAAAAAAUGAUAAGUAACCUUUCGGGGUAAAGCGCCGUCGUCUCGAGGCGGAAACCUGGGCAGAGGCCCUUUUUCUCUUCGACAGAGAGAUUCUGCCGAGCAAACUUUCCUCCAGGAGGGGAAAAUGAAAGUUAUCAUCAUCACCAAUGUUUCCUCCUUCGUGGAAGGACCGAUCUUCAUCAACAUCUUCACCAUCAUCAUAUCGUCUCCAAACCUAGUUCAUCUCUUGUAUUCAAUCUUUGUCUCGGGACCUCAGAUUGGUACAUGUGGGUUAUUAGCUGUGUUGAUUACAUCUUAUAGUUGAUGCUUAUUGGAUUACUUGGUGGAAGACAUUAUGAUCAAAUCCUUAAUUAUUAUUAUUACACCUCUCAUCUUGAAUAUGUUGAUGAGGUGCGAGUAGUAACUAUUGUUCCCGGGGACAUUGGAGAAGUCUUGUUAUAAAUAAUCAUAUAAUGUUGGUAUUCGCUCGAUAUUUUGAUGAUAUGUAUGUUGUUAUUUCUUUUAGUGGUGUCAUGUGAACGUCAACUACAUGACACUUCACCAUGUUAUGGGUCCAAGGAAAGUCAUUAUGGAGUAACAAGUAGAUGAUGGAUUGCGAGACUGGCAGAAGCUUAAACCCCAGUUUAUGCAUUGCUUCAUGAGGGGCUGAUUUGGAUCCACACAUUUAAUGCUAUGGUUCGAUUUAUCUUAAUUCUUCUUUUGUAGCUGCGGAUGUUUGCGAGAGAGGGUAAUGAUAAGUUGGUUUCUUGUUCAAGUAAGAACAACACCUUAACACCGGUCUAUCCACAUAUAAAAUUAUCAAAGUAGUGAACGCGAAUCAACUCAAUAUGAUGAAUAUGACUAGACGGAAAUUCUCAUGUGUUCACGGAAGCAGUUGCUUCAUAUAAAAGUACUUUCAGGCCUGUCAUUUGCUACAAAAAGGAUUGAGCUAUCUUGUUGCACAUUUGCUACUAUUGUUACUUGUCACUUAUUAUGAAUUAUCUUGCUACAAGACUAUCUAUCACUGUUACUUAUAGCACUUGCAGAUAAUACCUUGCUGAAAAUCGCUUAUUAUUUCCUUCUGCUCCUCGUUGGUUUCGACACUCUUAUUUAUAGAAAGAACUAUGAUUGAUCCCCUAAACUUGUGGGUCAUCAGCCCUCCAUGUCCAGGCAAGACCCAUGUGACCUUGCUGCCGCACGCGCCACGUCGUCGCUCGACACUACCAGUCGGCACCAACGCCACCGAGCGGGAGGAGAGGAGGCCCCGUCGCUGCCCGGCACUACCAGUCAACACUAACGCCGUCGAGUGUGGGGAGAGGAGCCCCUUCGCCAUCGACGCCAGUCGGGCUUUGCCCCAUGGCAGCAAGGAGAAGAGAGGGUGCGGCCUCCGCUGGCGGCUAGGUCCCCUCCCCUCUCUCUCAGUGUCCAAUUCACUCCAAAUCACAUGAGUUCAUUCAUCAAUUUUUCUUUGAAAGUUUUGCUGCCUCAUACAUGUGGACUGUGAUCAACACAACAAUUCAGGCUUGCACUUUGUUUUACUUAAUAUUUUCACUGUGCAGCUAACAUCGUAACUCUUAGUGCUAACAUCAAUUUUGUAGGAAGCAAAUUCCUUAUGGUAUAGGAAAGGUUCUACUACUCCCUACUAAAGUUGCGACCAUUAACUUGGAUCGGAUGGAGUAACUUUCUUUCACUAUCAGUUGGAUUGGAUCUUUUUAAACAUUCUUGCUGCAUUAGAUAAAAAGCAAUUAAUUUUUUCUGUUAGCAUGUAUUCAUAAAAAUAAUAAAUAAUGUAGAGUUUGGUAUCACUUUUGUUCAACAAGCCUUUUGCCAUUUCACUAUUUGACUAACCAAAAUUUCAAAUUGUAGGGACUAGUUUGCCAACGUAUUAUAGAAAAAGUUCAACGCGCAUAGUUUUAUAGCCAUAAAUCAAACCUUGUCCUAAAAAUUUCAACAUACGUUUUAGACGCGUUUGUCUUUUAUAAAGGCAUCUCACAAUACACUUGGGCACGUGUAUACGAUACAAGGAUAGAAUAUUUUAUUAAUGCUCGUCAUGAAUGAAAUGUCAAGUAUGUCCCUAUUUCUAGUGACAAACGCCUCAAAUUAAUCCACAGGACAGUAACUCCAGUAGUAUAGGCUAUAGGAAUGUGAACCUAAUAUGGCUAAACUUUUCUUUCAGAUUUGUCUUUUUGUCACAUUUUUUGUUAAACGUGCCGCAUUUUUUUUAAUGUUUACAUGUCACACCCUCUCAAGUAUAAACCUUGGCCGUGGCUACCGAGCGCAGCAAUGUCCGCUCACGGUGGUAGCGGACGCACCCGAGAACAAUCAACCACGUGUACUUAUUAGCGUUUAAAAAAAUUCAAAAAAUCGUAACUUUUGAACCGAGCAUCAAAAUGACGAUACGUUUUCACGGUCGUGUUUCUUAUGACGAGCUCUUCAAAAUUAGAUUCCAUAUGGAUAGAUUUCUACGAACUUUUUUUGAGCAAAUUUAUGUGCUAGAUGAGGCAAUUUUAGUGCUAUAGGCAAGCAACUCCUUUCCCCCCUUAGUAUGACUAUCUACCAGCGAAGAAUUCUUCUAAGUUGGUUACCACUGAGUAACAAUUGACUAGUUGCCUAUGAUUGAUGUUCACUUGCCUACAAAUGCUGUGGAAUUGUUCGAUUUUGAUGCUCAGUUGCCUNNNNNNNNNNNNNNNNNNNNNNNNNNNNNNNNNNNNNNNNNNNNNNNNNNNNNNNNNNNNNNNNNNNNNNNNNNNNNNNNNNNNNNNNNNNNNNNNNNNNNNNNNNNNNNNNNNNNNNNNNNNNNNNNNNNNNNNNNNNNNNNNNNNNNNNNNNNNNNNNNNNNNNNNNNNNNNNNNNNNNNNNNNNNNNNNNNNNNNNNNNNNNNNNNNNNNNNNNNNNNNNNNNNAUUAUGAUGCUCAGUUUCCUAUUACUGAUGGUCAAUUGCCUAUGGUUGAUGUUCAGUUGCGUGGCAUUAAUGCUCAGUUGCCUUCUAUUUAUGAAUAGUUGUCAUAAUUGCACUCUAGUAUCACAAAAAAGUUAGCAACUUUUAGUGUGUUUUUUGCGCAACUCCAGUGCAUUUCAACAAGCAACUCAUGUGUAUACACACAAUGCAAUUCAUACAUCAUCAAAGUUGUUUCUGUUUAGUACCAAAGUUGCCUCAUACAGCAUCGAAGUUGCUUUUGAAAAAAAUCUUCAAAUCAUAUUCAUAUGAGAUCUCGUUUUGAAGAGUUCGUCACGAGGAACCCAACGAUGAAAACAUAUCAUAAUUUCCACACACGGUUUGAUAGUUAUAUCUUUUUGAAUUUUUUUCGUACAGGAAUAAAUGGACAUCCAACGCAUGCGGAGCCGAGCAUGCACAUCCGACCCAUAAUUUAGCCUUUUCAGUUUGGAAAUUUCAGACUUCAUUUGUCAUGUGGUUGCUAAAGGGUGAAGUUAUUUAACCUUCUAGUCAUGAUAGAUAAUUUAAAAAAUAAUGUUGAUAGGCGAUCAUAUUACGCGCAUUAAUAAAAAUUAUUUCUCUUUAACACUAAAAUUGCCUAAACAUUACUCCACGGUUGCUUAAAAAAAGUUUAUCAAAAUAUAUCCAUAUGGGAUCCAGUUUUAAAGAGCUCGUUGUAACAAACACAACCGUGAAAACAGAUCAUUGUUAUGAGGCUCGGUUUAAAGUUAUAGUAUUUAAAAACAAAACAGAAUAAACUGGAAUGACUUGCUGCAUAUAGGAUGUGAUCGUUUCAACCAAAUAGUGCAGCUGUAUUUUUAUUAUUUAAGAUAAACCUUGUGCUAAAAAACUAUGACGAGUGAGGUGGCACGGUCGGGAUAUGCGGCGCAGAACAUGGGAGGGGCGGGGGGGUCAAAGAAUUCAGUGCUCGUUACGUCUUUUUACAUGCUCUGGCACAUGUAUAAGAUGGGUGAUGGCUGGCUGGAUAAGGGAGAAGCAGAGUUGAACAGAUGCAAGUCAUUAUUAAUUCAAGAUUACUGGCUGAAUACAUUAUGAUUACUUCAUCAGACAAGUGCCUGCACGGACAGAGGCGCAAGGCCUGAUCUGCAUCGCCUCGCUGAACAUUAUACUCGUACUACGUGAGUAUCUUUCAGCAAAAACGUACAUACAGCCCAAUAAUUAGUGGAAUGAGGUGUUCUUGAGGUGCUCCGGCGCGUCCUGGAAGGAAUGCUUCCUGGCCAUGGAGAGGAUGGUCUUGUCGGCGACGAUGAAGUAGGCCAUCCCGGCGACGGUGGAGAUGAUGAGCGCCUGACCGGCGGGGUUCAGGUGCGCCUUGGCCCACGGAAGCAUCCUCACACUCGCC